UCUCCGUUGGUGAACCAGCGGAGGGAUCAUUACAGAGUUGCAAAACUCCCAAACCAUUGUGAACGUUACCUAUCCCGUUGCUUCGGCGGGCGGCCCGGGCCCCGCGCCCGGCGCCCCCCGGCCCCCCGUGGGCGCCCGCCGGAGGUAAACCAAACCCUUGAAUUGCAUGGCCUCUCUGAAUCUUCUGUACUGAAUAAGUCAAGACUUUCAACAACGGAUCUCUUGGUUCUG
rnacentral:misc_RNA from 1 species